GCUUCCUGUGGUAGUGAUGCACGUGCACCCAUCAUGCUUCAGGUUCUCGUUGACACGAAGAAGCAAGAUGGUGUUUGGAAAUGAAGGUUCGAUGCGUGCAAAAAACUUCGACCAUUACACGGGUCUCCGAAAAGAAGAAACAACAUGGCGGCUGGAGUGAAGCUUCGAGGUGUGGACAGAAAUUUCGACCGUUACACGUUGGAUCAUCAAGGAAAGGAAGACUAGCUGAAUCUAUAAGUGUUAGUCUUAGAUGUUAUUUAGUAAAAUUACACAAGUGAAAACA